UAGGGAAUCUUCCACAAUGGACGCAAGUCUGAUGGAGCAACGCCGCGUGAGUGAAGAAGGCUUUCGGGUCGUAAAACUCUGUUAUUGAAGAAGAACGUGUGUGACAGUAACUGGUCAUGCAGUGACGGUAUUCAAUCAGAAAGUCACGGCUAACUACGUGCCAGCAGCCGCGGUAAUACGUAGGUGGCAAGCGUUGUCCGGAUUUAUUGGGCGUAAAGCGAGUGCAGGCGGUCUUUUAAGUCUGAUGUGAAAGCCUUCGGCUUAACCGAAGAAGGGCAUCGGAAACUGGGAGACUUGAGUGCAGAAGAGGAGAGUGGAACUCCAUGUGUAGCGGUGAAAUGCGUAGAUAUAUGGAAGAAACACCAGUGGCGAAGGCGGCUCUCUGGUCUGUAACUGACGCUGAGGCUCGAAAGCGUGGGGUAGCAAACAGG
rnacentral:rRNA from 1 species